rnacentral:rRNA from 1 species
GCGGCGAGCCUAAUACAUGCAAGUCGAGCGGACAGAAGGGAGCUUGCUCCCGGAUGUUAGCGGCGGACGGGUGAGUAACACGUGGGUAACCUGCCUGUAAGACUGGGAUAACUCCGGGAAACCGGAGCUAAUACCGGAUAGUUCCUUGAACCGCAUGGUUCAAGGAUGAAAGACGGUUUCGGCUGUCACUUACAGAUGGACCCGCGGCGCAUUAGCUAGUUGGUGAGGUCACAGCUCACCAAGGCGAUGAUGUGUAGCCGACCUGAGAGGGUGAUCGGCCACACUGGGACUGAGACACGGCCCUGACUCCUACGGGAGGCAGCAGUAGGGAAUCUUCCGCAAUGGACGAAAGUCUGACGAAGCAACGCCGCGUGAGUGAUGAAGGUUUUCGGAUCGUAAAGCUCUGUUGUUAGGGAAGAACAAGUGCAAGAGUAACUGCUUGCACCUUGACGGUACCUAACCAGAAAGCCACGGCUAACUACGUGCCAGCAGCCGCGGUAAUACGUAGGUGGCAAGCGUUGUCCGGAAUUAUUGGGCGUAAAGGGCUCGCAGGCGGUUUCUUAAGUCUGAUGUGAAAGCCCCCGGCUCAACCGGGGAGGGUCAUUGGAAACUGGGAAACUUGAGUGCAGAAGAGGAGAGUGGAAUUCCACGUGUAGCGGUGAAAUGCGUAGAGAUGUGGAGGAACACCAGUGGCGAAGGCGACUCUCUGGUCUGUAACUGACGCUGAGGAGCGAAAGCGUGGGGAGCGAACAGGAUUAGAUACCCUGGUAGUCCACGCCGUAAACGAUGAGUGCUAAGUGUUAGGGGGUUUCCGCCCCUUAGUGCUGCAGCUAACGCAUUAAGCACUCCGCCUGGGGAGUACGGUCGCAAGACUGAAACUCAAAGGAAUUGACGGGGGCCCGCACAAGCGGUGGAGCAUGUGGUUUAAUUCGAAGCAACGCGAAGAACCUUACCAGGUCUUGACAUCCUCUGACAACCCUAGAGAUAGGGCUUUCCCUUCGGGGACAGAGUGACAGGUGGUGCAUGGUUGUCGUCAGCUCGUGUCGUGAGAUGUUGGGUUAAGUCCCGCAACGAGCGCAACCCUUGAUCUUAGUUGCCAGCAUUCAGUUGGGCACUCUAAGGUGACUGCCGGUGACAAACCGGAGGAAGGUGGGGAUGACGUCAAAUCAUCAUGCCCCUUAUGACCUGGGCUACACACGUGCUACAAUGGACAGAACAAAGGGCUGCGAGACCGCAAGGUUUAGCCAAUCCCACAAAUCUGUUCUCAGUUCGGAUCGCAGUCUGCAACUCGACUGCGUGAAGCUGGAAUCGCUAGUAAUCGCGGAUCAGCAUGCCGCGGUGAAUACGUUCCCGGGCCUUGUACACACCGCCCGUCACACCACGAGAGUUUGCAACACCCGAAGUCGGUGAGGUAACCUUUAUGGAUCCAGCCGCCGAUAGGUGG